GAGGGUACAGCUCAGUGGUAGAGUGCUUGCCUAGCAUGCAUAAGGUCCUGGGUUCGAUCCCCAGUACUGCUG
rnacentral:tRNA from 1 species